rnacentral:rRNA from 1 species
GAUGAACGCUGGCGGCGUGCCUAAUACAUGCAAGUCGAGCGAACAUACGAGGAGCUUGCUCCUCUGACGUUAGCGGCGGACGGGUGAGUAACACGUGGAUAACCUACCUAUAAGACUGGGAUAACUUCGGGAAACCGGAGCUAAUACCGGAUAACAUGUUGAACCGCAUGGUUCAACAGUGAAAGACGGUCUUGCUGUCACUUAUAGAUGGAUCCGCGCCGCAUUAGCUAGUUGGUAAGGUAACGGCUUACCAAGGCAACGAUGCGUAGCCGACCUGAGAGGGUGAUCGGCCACACUGGAACUGAGACACGGUCCAGACUCCUACGGGAGGCAGCAGUAGGGAAUCUUCCGCAAUGGGCGAAAGCCUGACGGAGCAACGCCGCGUGAGUGAAGAAGGUCUUCGGAUCGUAAAACUCUGUUAUUAGGGAAGAACAAAUGUGUAAGUAACUAUGCAGGUCUUGACGGUACCUAAUCAGAAAGCCACGGCUAACUACGUG